UUUAGAAAGGAAGAAUUAAAAGUGCUUGAAAUCGCUCAAAGGGAAGCGAAUGGAA
rnacentral:rRNA from 1 species